rnacentral:rRNA from 1 species
GAUGAACGCUGGCGGCGUGCCUAAUACAUGCAAGUCGAGCGAACAGACGAGGAGCUUGCUCCUCUGACGUUAGCGGCGGACGGGUGAGUAACACGUGGAUAACCUACCUAUAAGACUGGGAUAACUUCGGGAAACCGGAGCUAAUACCGGAUAAUAUAUUGAACCGCAUGGUUCAAUAGUGAAAGACGGUUUUGCUGUCACUUAUAGAUGGAUCCGCGCCGCAUUAGCUAGUUGGUAAGGUAACGGCUUACCAAGGCAACGAUGCGUAGCCGACCUGAGAGGGUGAUCGGCCACACUGGAACUGAGACACGGUCCAGACUCCUACGGGAGGCAGCAGUAGGGAAUCUUACGCAAUGGGCGAAAGCGUGACGGAGCAACGCCGCGUGAGUGAUGAAGGUCUUCGGAUCGUAAAACUCUGUUAUUAGGGAAGAACAAAUGUGUAAGUAACUAUGCACAUCUUGACGGUACCUAAUCAGAAAGCCACGGCUAACUACGUG